rnacentral:piRNA from 1 species
CCCAGGUUGAGUCAACUGUUGUAUGCCC